UCAUACAAGAGACCCAAAUUAAUUGUUCACGGCGUAAAGAGUGGACCCAUGCUAUCAAGAUACUUAAGGCCAAAGCGUAACUGAGCUGUCAUAAGCUUAAGAUGCAUUUAAAGCCACCUUAAAAGUGACCUUAACUGAUAUGACCCAUUGAACUCCACGAAAGCCAGGGCACAAACUGGGAUUAGAUACCCCACUAUGCCUAGCCCUAAAUCUAGAUGCUUGUACUACUAAAGCAUCCGCCCGAGGACUACGAGCACAAACGCUUAAAACUCUAAGGACUUGGCGGUGCCCCAAACCCACCUAGAGGAGCCUGUUCUGUAAUCGAUAACCCACGCUACACCCGACCACUUCUUGCCUGAUACAGCCUACAUACCGCCGUCGCCAGCUCACCUUCUCUGAGAGUACAACAGUGAGCAUAAUCGCUAUAACCCGCUAAUAAGACAGGUCAAGGUAUAGCCCAUGAAGUGGAAGAAAUGGGCUACAUUUUCUAACCUAGAAAAUUCACGGAAGGGGACAUGAAACAGCCCCCGGAAGGCGGAUUUAGCAGUAAAGCAGGAUAACAUAAGCCCCCUUUAAGCUGGCUCUGAGGCACGUACAUACCGCCCGUCACCCUCCUCAAAAGCUUUAAAGCCCCUGUUACAUAACAUGCCCGCUCGCUAAAGAUGAGGUAAGUCGUAACAAGGUAAGUGUACCGG
rnacentral:rRNA from 1 species